UAUAUAUUAGUGUAAUGUUUGCACAAAAAUUUUUGAUUUUUUAGGUUUUAAUUUAUAUUAAAGUAUAUAU
rnacentral:tRNA from 1 species